rnacentral:lncRNA from 1 species
GAAGACUGAACAUGGGGGCACUUAACAACUGAGCCACAUCCCCAGCCCCUUUUUAUAUUUUAUUUUGAGAGAGGGUCUGACUGCUUAGGGUUGGCUUUCAAUUUGGGAUCCUCCUGGCAUGGCCUCUGGAGCUGCUGGGAUUACAGGUGUGUGCCACUGCACCUGGCUCUAAAGGAAAAAAAAUUGAGUUUUUGGUCUGAGGGGUUGUUUUUAUUAUGCAGUAUUGGGGAUUGAACAUGGCCUCAUGCAUGCUAGGCAACUGCUCUUAUCACUAAGCUCCAUUCCCAGCCUGAGUGACUUUUUAAUUAUUUUUUAAACCAUCCUGGUGACAAGGAGUUAAUGGCUAGAAAUUGUUCUUGAGCCCUUCCUCUAAACAAAAUACUUCGUAAACUUGAUGCCUCUUGAUAGUAAGCUUUUGUGUUCAAAGCAGCAAAUGUACUUUACCCAGGGUUGUCUUUGGUUCCUGAGCUAAUUUUGUAUCACAGGUGCAAGAUUUAUUUUAAUUAUCAAGAUGAACAGCUGAGGGGGUCAGCCUAUUACCCAUCUGGUCCUAAUCCAGCCAAGAGGCCUCUGUGCCCCAUGCCAAUAUUUCCAAUUGUCAGUGGCCCUGACUUUUUCUGCUGCUGAAUUUUUAAUCUCAUCUGCCAGUUGAGCUACUGAAAGAUUCCCUGACCCCCUAAACACCUCUUCAUUCUCCCCCUCCUAGAUAUUUACAUGCAUACUCCCUUCCUCAGGAUCCCAAGACUGCAAGGCAUCACAGUAAGAGCAUUUGUUCUAGGCCCUGGCAUCUUUCAUAAACAUCCACUCAUAACCCUCACUGAUAUUUCUGUGGUCCAGCGGCUAGUGGACCAGGGAGCCGAGUUUUAAACUGCUAUUUCAGGAGGCUGUUGGUGAAGGAGGAGGGAAAGGAUGACCAAGAGAGGAAAAACUGUUUUCUUUUUGUACCUAGGGAUUGAACCCAGGGGUGGGUGCUUUACCACUGAACUGCAUCCAGAGCCCUUUUUGUUUCACUUUUUAAAAUUUUGAGACAGAGUCUCAUUGGUUAUUUAAAGUCCUCACUAAGUUGCUGAGGCUGGCCUCAUACUUGGGAUCCUCCUGCCUCAGCCUCCCCAAGUCACUGGAAAUGUAGGUGUGUGUCACUGCACCUGACUGGGAAAAAAAAAUUCUUUCCCUAUUUACACAUCAUUCAACCCUUCUGACAAUUUAUGCAUAGGAGUGUUUCCCCAUAAUACUAUGCAGUUCACCAGUACACACCACCUCAGUUCUAAUACUACCUGGAGAUAGCAUUAGAUCUCAUGUUAAAGGCUCAGUACAACUUAUGCUGCCCACCAGCCAUCAGCUACAAAUUGUCACUAUACAAAAUACAUGUAUGAAGAUGUGAAUUUGGUAUCAACAUACCUUAUAUACAAUCAGAGAUAUGAUAAAUUGUGAUAUAAAGGUGUAUUAAGAAUUGUAAUGCAAAAAAAUAGAGAGCUCAUAUAUAAU